UUUUAACUCUCCAAAUAAACGUUUAAGCUCAAGUCUCACAAGGUUGUAGCGUUAGUUUGAGUUCUUUCUUUCAAGCAUGUUACAAAAACUAAUUUUUUUCUUUUAUGAUUACAUGUGAUUUCAUAAGUUAUAACCACAACCACGCAUAAAUAAAGAGUAAAUCAAACUUUCAUCCAUGUUUAUAACUCUCUUUAACAGUCAUGCAAUUACAAACUGAAUCCUCAGCAUUGUGUUGGAAGGUACCCUAAGACAUAAAUAAGCGCACAAAAACAACUCUUUUUUGGAUUUUCAAAAACAAUUUUUCAAAUUUUUAUGAAUUUUCGGAUUUUUAUGUCAAAACACACUGAAACACUCCAAAACAGCUUAAAAAAUACUUAAAACAACAAGGAACAAUACUAGAAGUAAUGGGUGAUAAAUUUCUACGAAUUUCAUGCAAAACAAUGGUUACCCCCCCACACUUAAAUCAAACAUUGUCCUCAAUGUUUCAAGCAUAUACUCACACAAAAAACAAGCAAAUAAUAAACGACAAAUAAACAUGACAAAUAUGGCAAAGUAAAAACCAGACAGAGUAGAGUUUAAGAACGCAAAUCUGGUUUUGGAGAUAGUUGAUCUUGUUGACUUUCCACAGCUUUGAUCUUGAACUGGAUUGGAAUUGUACGGCGAAGCUUUUCUCUUUGGCGAUGUUGCAAUUCCUU
rnacentral:lncRNA from 1 species